GCCGAGAUGGCGGAAUGGGAAGACGCGCCGGACUCAAAAUCCGGUGGGGUUAAAGCCCCAUGCGGGUUCAACUCCCGCUCUCGGCACCA
rnacentral:tRNA from 1 species